GACGUACGCUGGCGGCGUGCUUAACACAUGCAAGUCGAACGAUGAAGCCGGAGCUUGCUCUGGUGAAUUAGUGGCGAACGGGUGAGUAACACGUGAGUAACCUGCCCUUGACUCUGGGAUAACUGCGGGAAACUGUAGCUAAUACCGGAUACGACCAUCGGAGGCAUCUCCUGGGGGUGGAAAGAAUUUCGGUCAAGGAUGGACUCGCGGCCUAUCAGCUAGUUGGUGAGGUAAAGGCUCACAAAGGCGACGACGGGUAGCCGGCCUGAGAGGGUGGCCGGCCACACUGGGACUGAGACACGGCCCAGACUCCUACGGGAGGCAGCAGUGGGGAAUAUUGCACAAUGGGCGCAAGCCUGAUGCAGCAACGCCGCGUGAGGGAUGACGGCCUUCGGGUUGUAAACCUCUUUUAGCAGGGAAGAAGCGAAAGUGACGGUACCAGCAGAAAAAGCACCGGCUAACUACGUGCCAGCCGCCGCGGUAA
rnacentral:rRNA from 1 species